UUUGUGUGUAAAUUCAGAGUUCUAAUCACCAUCCUGGUGUUUGCUGGUUUCAGGCAUUGUAUGGGAUGGAUCUAUCAUGCUGGGAUUAGUUGUAGACUUCCUUGCUGAACCCUACAGGGAGCAAUGCAUCCCCAGUUUGCUUCCAGAGAAGGAAGGGGAAGAGGGUUUUCUUGUUGCUGCUAUUCGUCGUGGAUAUUCAAGAGGCAACUUGGCACCUAAUGUCAGCAACAUGCUUAUCGGUGACGAGGGAAAUGAAAGAAGGCUGCAAUGGAAUUUGUACUAGGUGAGUUGAGUUGCUGCUUGGUUGGAGAUGUUGACGUCGUUCGAGACGCCCGCUGGAUUCACCCUUUUCAAGGUUCUGAAUAAGGGCAAGCUCGACAAGGUCGAGUGGUACAGGUAUGAUCUUCAUGGAGCUAGGCAUCACUGGAUUUGGUAAUACAUAAUCACUUAUUCAGAGAGCCCAAGGUGAGAAGGGACGAGCAUCUAGAACACCACCACCUACUAAUCAGUGAGCUACUAUCUGUCUUUGAAUGAGUUACUUAACAAGAGAAGGCAGGAGUUUCCUACCUUUCUUCUGCAAAUCUGGAAUGCCUUUAUGGCAUGAUCAUGUGAAAAAGUACCUUGAUGCAGUAAUGGAUUUGAUUUUCACUGGUUACUCUGUUUUCACGAAUUACUAUCCAACUAGCAUGGAAGAACCAAAAGGUAGUUGAUCAGCAGGAUGGCAAGAGGAAGACAAGAACCAAAUUAAAGUUUGUUGCUGUGCAUGUCUGUAUCUAUCAAGAUUCAGUGCUAUGUAGAAAUGUCCUUGAGAUUUGUUUCACUCAACGAGACCAAACAAUCAGGAACACAAGUAGGAUAGUUGAUGCUUUUUUCAUUUUUCUUCUGAUGAAAAGGAAUCUUCAUCUGCCAAGAAUACGGCCUAUAAGCAUGUAUGCCUAAUUACCUAUAUGUUGAUUUAACAAGCUCACAUACAUGUCCAUUUCUGAAAAUAGUUUACCCAUCCUCAAACAUAUAACUUGUGUGUUGUUGCUUUCCAUUAUAUUGAGAAAAACAUAAGUUUCACUGGACCUUUUAUUCA